rnacentral:rRNA from 1 species
UUGGAAACAGGUGCUAAUACCGUAUAACAAUCAAAACCGCAUGGUUUUGAUUUGAAAGGCGCUUUCGGGUGUCGCUGAUGGAUGGACCCGCGGUGCAUUAGCUAGUUGGUGAGGUAACGGCUCACCAAGGCCACGAUGCAUAGCCGACCUGAGAGGGUGAUCGGCCACAUUGGGACUGAGACACGGCCCAAACUCCUACGGGAGGCAGCAGUAGGGAAUCUUCGGCAAUGGACGAAAGUCUGACCGAGCAACGCCGCGUGAGUGAAGAAGGUUUUCGGAUCGUAAAACUCUGUUGUUAGAGAAGAACAAGGAUGAGAGUAACUGUUCAUCCCUUGACGGUAUCUAACCAGAAAGCCACGGCUAACUACGUGCCAGCAGCCGCGGUAAUACGUAGGUGGCAAGCGUUGUCCGGAUUUAUUGGGCGUAAAGCGAGCGCAGGCGGUUUCUUAAGUCUGAUGUGAAAGCCCCCGGCUCAACCGGGGAGGGUCAUUGGAAACUGGGAGACUUGAGUGCAGAAGAGGAGAGUGGAAUUCCAUGUGUAGCGGUGAAAUGCGUAGAUAUAUGGAGGAACACCAGUGGCGAAGGCGGCUCUCUGGUCUGUAACUGACGCUGAGGCUCGAAAGCGUGGGGAGCAAACAGGAUUAGAUACCCUGGUAGUCCACGCCGUAAACGAUGAGUGCUAAGUGUUGGAGGGUUUCCGCCCUUCAGUGCUGCAGCUAACGCAUUAAGCACUCCGCCUGGGGAGUACGACCGCAAGGUUGAAACUCAAAGGAAUUGACGGGGGCCCGCACAAGCGGUGGAGCAUGUGGUUUAAUUCGAAGCAACGCGAAGAACCUUACCAGGUCUUGACAUCCUUUGACCACUCUAGAGAUAGAGCUUCCCCUUCGGGGGCAAAGUGACAGGUGGUGCAUGGUUGUCGUCAGCUCGUGUCGUGAGAUGUUGGGUUAAGUCCCGCAACGAGCGCAACCCUUAUUGUUAGUUGCCAUCAUUCAGUUGGGCACUCUAGCAAGACUGCCGGUGACAAACCGGAGGAAGGUGGGGAUGACGUCAAAUCAUCAUGCCCCUUAUGACCUGGGCUACACACGUGCU